UUCAACUAUAAACGUCCCUAUAAACUUUUCCUUUGUUUCCAGUUGAAAGACGAAAUGAAUGCCAUUUUACUGCUGCCGUUUGGAAGUAAUCGAAUGAAACUAACUAUUACGUACAAGCCUCAGAGGCUUUGUUAUUCAUCGUUUCGGCUGAAAGAACGACGAAGAUCUUUUACUGCUUCUUGCAGACAUUUAAAGACGCUGAAAAUUGGCAGAGAAUGUAGUCAAAAUCUGAAUGUUGGGAAAAGCUUUGCUUUACUGCCACGUCUUUUAUCUGAUACUGAAUAGCAGAGAAAAGCGGGCACUUUGAUUUUAUCUUUCGAAAAAGAAAAAAAGGGGUAAAAUUCUCAAUUUCAGCGACUGUCAAUGAGCUUGUGAUUUAGGGCAAACCCAAGCGCACACUUCUUCCAAUUUAAAUGUGUCAACGAUGCACUACGUUGUAGAUGAAACCAGAAAGAGCCACUGACCUGUGCGUCUUGUACGAUCGGGUGUUCUGCUAGGAUUUCUUCGAUAUCCUUCGAAUGUCCAGCAGAAAAAGUCAUGGAUGGAGCACAGUUUUCAACGGCACUUGACUACAUCAAAUCGAUUUAUAGCUACCCUGGUCGAAUCCAACAAUCUUUAGUGAUCCUUUUGGCCAUCUUUUCACUGUUGUUCCACUGGCCUCGCGUGAUGUUUUUGCCUCGAGUUCAGACUUCUCCAGGAGAAUCUGUUGUACAAUGUGAAGGACAUUGAAUACCUCAAUGUGAUUCAGCUAAUACCCGCAGGGAAAUAUAUCUGUCUAAGACUGUUCCACUUAGUACUAAAGAAAGAGCCAGGGCUCAUCUCAGACAUUUUGAAAGCCACCCAUUAUCAUUCCUAACCUCACAAAAAAAAUACCUUAAAAUGCUUGAUGCCAAGUUCUCCGAGAUCUCGACAGCGAUCGUUUCCGGACGCUACGCUUCAGAUACGCUCGUCUUCAGACUUGUCAGAUCAUAGUCGACCAGUUCCGGGAAGUGGAAAAGGUAUACAUGGUCAUAGUUCCAUACACACCUGGAUAUACUCGUUCCCUAUAACGAGCCUUUUGACAUGGAUGUGUGACAGCUGCAACAGCGAUCGCCAACAGCUACUGUCAGGACUAACCACUUUUGAUGGAUGGAUUCUCACGAACCUUAAACUGGCAAGUGCAGCUGCAAAAUAGGUUGUUGACAUGACGAAACUGCACGCAAACGAGUGAUUAAAUGAAAGAGAAGGCAAAACCUAUGGAGCCUGAAAAUCGUACAGAAUCGAUAACUUUGCAUUUUUUUUCAUAAGUUUUUUUUAUUUUUAAACCUUUUAAUUGUAAGCUUCUUCUAGUCCGAGAUGAUAGCUGUUGCUGAUAAUAUUAUGGUGAGCCAAAAUGGCCGUUUAGUAUUGCCCGUCGUCCCCUGUUUGGUUAAAAAUGACGGAAAGUCAUUAGUAAAAAGGCGUUGUAACUUUAAACUUUUACCGAAGUGAAUGGAAUACUGAGAGGUUCUCGAACUGGAUGCGACGUUGUGAGUUUGACUGACUAAACUUAGUGUAACGCGCUCCAGGUUCCAGGACAUAACGUCACUGUAAGGCAUAACGCAUGUUUAAAGUUAGUUGGUUAUUAGGUAUAGUGAAACAGUUACUUGAUAAAACUUUUUAGAAAAAUCACAAACAGCCACAGACCUUAUUGAAUAAGCCUUGCCUUCGUCUAAAACAAUCACUCGUUUCAAACUUGGAACAAGACAACUAAAAACUUUUUCAUUGUUGGUUGUCCGAGUUUGCUGGCCAGACUUUGACUUGUCUGGGGAAGAGUCGAACUCGUCGACCAGGAUGUUCAGUAAAUUGUGGUUGAAGUAUUUAUUUGGCUCUACCAGAACUUUCAUUUCGCCGACUAUGUUCAAAGCGUAGCAUAAUUCAUGAACCUGAUAUGCAGGUUUGAUGUUCAUUUUGAACGCGACUGCGUGAAAAAAUCAAUGUAUCAUCAUUAAUAUGGGAACGCUAACUAACUGAAUUUUUGUUGAAAAUCAAUAAUUUACCAGGAUCAGUCCUGCUCUUGCUGCCACCCAUUGUGUGACGACCCAUACGUAAAAUAAAACUGUGUCCUAGAUUUCGAUGUGUUCGCCGCGUUUUAAACCCAGUCAAAGCAAUUCAGUAGCUACUUGAUCAGUGUUUUCGCGAUCAAUAGGUUUUCCUCGUGUUUUGAUGGAGGAAAACGGUCGAUAACCAAACUUAUUGGCAGCUCUUUACAGCUACUGACCAUCGUUGCGCUCAGAAGUGGAACAUCGUUGAUGUACGAUAACUUUAUUCUUCGUCAGCAGUUCUUCAAAUAUAUUUUUUAUAGAAAG